UAUUUAAUGCUUAGUUAUGUUAGUUUGCUAUAAUGCUUCUCUAGACUGACCACACACGGACAAAUUUCACAGUUUGUUAACAAGAUGUGUUCACUCUGCUUGUUUCCAGUUGUCGGUGAAUCUGAAACAAGUUGUUUUCAUGUUGAAAUAUAGGUUUGGAUACGGUAAAGAUCGUUACAAGUUGUUGCAACAAGUCUAAUAUGGUCUGUACGUAGCAGUUUGUUGACGACGACAAUUAACUUAUGAUGUGCAAGAUAAUGUCAACUACUUCUUAUAUCUACUUGUAGCAAGGUGUUUGCCGUCACGAAAAUUGUUUCAAGAUGAUUACAACUUGUUCCACACUUGACACAACAACGCAGCAGAAUCAGUGCCAAAUUGUAGUUGAUCACAGACUUCUUCCAACCUCUUUGCAGAUCUGUAACAAAGCAGACCCGAACAGAACAGAACGGAACGGAACGGGACGGGACGGAACGGAACGGAACAGAACAGAAUAGAACUGAACUGAACACGGGCUAGAGGUUCGAGCAGGCAAUGGACAAUAAUAUGUACAGUUACUGUCAGUUAUCAUGCAUUACAGAGUAUAUAAACACUGAAAACAAUUAUAAUGGUUUAUUAUCACAUCGUCAUCACACCAAAAGGUUUAUAGGUGAAAAUAUAUACAAUUAUAGAUAUUAACAAGUUACAAAAAAUGUUUACAGCAAGAAUUGAAAAUUACUCUACAUUUAUACUUUAACUAUACUGACUAUCAAAUUGGAGCACAGUGUUGGUUAAAACUCUUCCUAUUAGUGGAUGACGUGAGCAAUGGCAUGAUGUGUGGGAGUUCAAUGGUGCCGCCACGAGUGGAACGUUUCGUUUCUUGAUAAAGAGCUUAUAGUUCGAAAUGAAAAUUAUUUUCUUUUAACUGUACUUUUGACGUCAGACGAAUUAGACUAUGAUGGGCAAUGUGACUGACAUAUUUGUUUUUGGAGUUGAUCACUUGACUGCGGUAUGUUGCUAAAGCUUGCUCAUUUCGUGCCAGUUGUGAAUGAGCACAGUCACCGCGAAGACGCUCUUUUUUUGCUCUUUCUUUUACUGCAGUUUGAACACAAGGACGACUGUUAAUUUGCGUUGGUUCUUUACAGCUACUAAAGGUAAC